rnacentral:rRNA from 1 species
UACAGAGGGUGCGAGCGUUGUUCGGAAUUAUUGGGCGUAAAGGGCGCGUAGGCGGCGCCACAAGUCACCUGUGAAAACUCUGGGCUCAACCCAGAGCCUGCAGGCGAAACUGUGGUGCUGGAGUAUGGGAGAGGUGCGUGGAAUUCCCGGUGUAGCGGUGAAAUGCUUAGAUAUGACAUAGAACACCAAUUGCGAAGGCAGCUUACUACACAACGAUUGACGCUGAGGCACGAAAGCGUGGGGAUCAAACAGG